rnacentral:lncRNA from 1 species
GACUCACAGGCCCCAUUCAGGCCACCGAGUGGCAGGUAUAGAGUGUCUCACCUCGGAGUACUGGGGAUGAGGGGUGAGCGUCCGGGCAGCAGGCGAGCCCCCAAGGCUGGCCCGCUGACACCAUUCACAGGGAGAUCAAGUAUUUUGCCCAAGAGCACACAGCUAGAGAGUGGAGAAGUCCGGAUUCAACCCAGACAGAUUGACUCCAGAGCGUGUGCUAUUCGUGGCUAUGCCAGAAUGCCCUGAUGGCCUCAGGUUUGCCUUGCCAACUGACAAAGGCGACUGUUUCCUACCCAUUGGCUCAGAUGGUUCCAGCUUCCUACCCUUCCAGUUAAAAUAAACAAAAACGAGGGUCUUGAGUGUCUAUGAUUUUCAUAAGAUCUAUGGCGUUUCUUCUGCAGAUGAUCAACAGUUGCCUGCCUUGGACUUUGGAGUUCCCAAGAACUAGAAAAUCCAGGUCAGGAACUGUAUCUUUGCUCAGCCACCUGCAAACAGACUUGAGAACAAUGUAAACCACCCUCUGCAGGAUAUUGAUUCUGAUGGAGUAAAUGUUGAUUAAGCAGAAUGGUGUUUUUUUUUUUAACUGGAGGAAUUCCAGAUCUUUCCUUAGGCCUGUCUCUCCAGGGAAAUGAGCUCUAGCCUUAAAAAUCUACAGAAAACCUGAGUAAGAAUGAAGAUUUAUGAUGGGAGACGCUGGGCGGAAGACGGCUGGCUAUCUGGUGGGCUAUCUAGAAGCUCAUCUUUGUGUUAUUAGAGAAACACUCCCGCUCUUGACAGGAUAUGGUCUGCUUAUCACAUAAUCUUCUCAAGUUUCAUUCCCAUUCUGCUUACAAAUGCCCCAAAUAUAAAGAGAUGCAUUUCAUCAAGACAGCCUUUUAAGAGGCAGUUGAUCCCAGCUGUUGCCGUCUAUCUUAAACACCUACCUUUUCACCCUAGUGUGGAGUUUACAUGUCGAUAAGCGAUGUAAAAAAGGGAACUUGAGAAAUCUCAGCAGAGGAAAAACACCGAGCCUGUCUCUGGGGAUUGGAGUAGGAGUAAAGAGCUCAGGAAGCUCUAAGUUCCAGAACACCCCUCCUUUUCAGAGAGGAGCCCUGGGGCGAUGCUGGCCUGCCCCAGGCCUUGAGCUGAUCUCAAAUACCAGGGACUGGAAACCGUUUUCCAGGCACAUAAGCUGAGGGAUUCAUUGCCUGCUACUUUGGCAUUUUCUUGUCAAGAGCUGGUGGUAAAAUAGUAGUGAAAGAUGCAGGUAGGAACAGGAGAGCCAGACCUGGAAGGUUUUGGCUCACCCAUGGACCCUCCGUCCUGGCAUUGUCCAUGCUCAUCCGUGAUGAAUUCUCAAUACCUGAUUUCAUGACACACAUAUGUAGACCUGGGAUGCAUUCCCAGACGGCCAAGUGGGAUAUGCUGCCAAAUGACCUGUGAGUUUUCUCUCACUCCUGAGUCUGCAAGCUCAGAAAGCCAGG